AAUUUUCCGCAAUGGGCGAAAGCCUGACGGAGCACUAUCGCGUGGNGGUAGACGGCUCGUGAGUUGUAAACUCCUUUUGUCAGAGAAGAAAUAAGACGGUAUCUGACGAAUAAGCAUCGGCUAAACUCUGUGCCAGCAGCCGCGGUAAGACGGAGGAUGCAANNNUUAUCCGGAAUGAUUGGGCGUAAAGCGUCUGUAGGUGGUUUACUAAGUCUGCUGUUAAAGCACAGGGCUCAACCCUGUUUAGGCGGUAGAAACUGGNAGGCUUGAGUAUGGUAGGGGUAGAGGGAAUUCCCGAUGUAGUGGUGAAAUGCGUUGAUAUCGGGAAGAACACCAAAGGCGAAAGCACUCUGCUGGGCCAAUACUGACACUAAGAGACGAAAGCUAGGGGAGCAAAUGGGAUUAGAUACCCCAGUAGUC
rnacentral:rRNA from 1 species